AACGAACGCUGGCGGCAUGCCUAACACAUGCAAGUCGAACGGACUGCCUGGCUUCGGCCGGGUUAGUUAGUGGCGGACGGGUGAGUAACGCGUGGGAACCUGCCUAGGAGUGAGGAACAACCGCUGGAAACGGCGGCUAAUACCGCAUACGCCCAUCGGGUCAAACCGGUGGGGAAAGCUUUAUGCGCUCCAUGAGGGUCCCGCGUCCGAUUAGCUAGUUGGAGGGGUAACGGCCCACCAAGGCAUCGAUCGGUAGCUGGUCUGAGAGGAUGAUCAGCCACACUGGGACUGAGACACGGCCCAGACUCCUACGGGAGGCAGCAGUGGGGAAUAUUGGACAAUGGGGGCAACCCUGAUCCAGCAAUGCCGCGUGCGUGAAGAAGGCCUUAGGGUUGUAAAGCGCUUUCGCCCGCGACGAUGAUGACGGUAGCGGGAGAAGAAGCCCCGGCUAACUCCG
rnacentral:rRNA from 1 species